UACGUAGGUGGCAAGCGUUGUCCGGAUUUAUUGGGUUUAAAGGGUGCGUAGGCGGUCUAUUAAGUCAGUGCUGAAAUAUCCCGGCUUAACCGGGAGGGUGGCAUUGAUACUGAUGGACUUGAGUAAAGUUGAGGUUGGCGGAAUUGACGGUGUAGCGGUGAAAUGCGCAGAUAUCAGGAAGAACACCCGUGGCGAAGGCGGCUCUCUGGAACGCAACUGACGCUGAGACGCGAAAGCGUGGGGAGCAAACAGG
rnacentral:rRNA from 1 species